ACGGAAGGCAGCAGUGGGGAAUAUUGCACAAUGGGGGAAACCCUGAUGCAGCAACGCCGCGUGAGUGAAGAAGUAUUUCGGUAUGUAAAGCUCUAUCAGCAGGGAAGAUAAUGACGGUACCUGACUAAGAAGCUCCGGCUAAAUACGUGCCAGCAGCCGCGGUAAUACGUAUGGAGCAAGCGUUAUCCGGAUUUACUGGGUGUAAAGGGUGUGUAGGCGGCAUGGCAAGUCAGAUGUGAAAGACCGGGGCUCAACUCCGGGGCUGCAUUUGAAACUGUCAGGCUGGAGUACAGGAGAGGCAGGCGGAAUUCCUAGUGUAGCGGUGAAAUGCGUAGAUAUUAGGAGGAACACCAGUGGCGAAGGCGGCCUGCUGGACGGUUACUGACGCUGAGGCACGAAAGCGUGGGGAGCAAACAGGAUUAGAUACCCUGGUA
rnacentral:rRNA from 1 species